rnacentral:snoRNA from 1 species
ACGCUAAAGAAUACAACUUUUAGCAGAAAAUAUGAGGUUAAGAUUAGAAGUAUUAAUGGCAAGAAAUCAGGCAA